rnacentral:sRNA from 1 species
GCUGGGUGCAGUGGCGCAUGCCUGUAAUCUCAGCAACUUGGGAGGCUGAGUCAGGAGGAUCUCAAGAUCAAAGCCAGCCUCAGCAAUGGCGAGACACUAAGCAACUCAGUGAGAUCCUGUCUCCA